rnacentral:rRNA from 1 species
UACAGAGGUCCCAAGCGUUGUUCGGAUUCACUGGGCGUAAAGGGUGCGUAGGUGGUCGGGUAAGUUUGAUGUGAAAUCCCCGGGCUUAACCUGGGAUGGCCAUGGAAACUGGCGAACUGGAGUGCGGCAGAGGGGGGUGGAAUUCCGCGUGUAGCAGUGAAAUGCGUAGAGAUGUGGAGGAAUACCGAUGGCGAAGGCAGCCCCCUGGGAUAACACUGACGCUCAUGCACGAAAGCGUGGGGAGCAAACAGG